AACAAAGUGGCCGAGUCUCUAGGCAAAAGAUUGUAGCUCUUUAUACGGGUCCACCCCCUUUGUAU
rnacentral:tRNA from 1 species